rnacentral:tRNA from 1 species
GCCGGGAUGGUGAAAUGGUAGACACGCAGCGUUCAGGGCGCUGUGCAGGUCACUGCGUGCGGGUUCGAGUCCCGCUCCCGGCACCA